rnacentral:misc_RNA from 1 species
AAGGAACGCUCGAUUUACCGUGAAAUCGGUGAAUGUAACCGUAUGUACACUCGCUUCCCCUCUGUCAGCACGAUGAUCUUUUUCAGGGGAUUGUGUUUGAACAAGGAAGUUGUUGGUAUCAAUCCAUUUUCAAUUAAAGUUAAUUGUUUAGUAAUCAUAGAUCAUUGUUACUGCUAAGUGCUACAUGAAAUUGAGGAAUGCAUCUUUAACGAUAAAAACACUAACACACAUAGUGGUAUAUAGAAGAGCUAUGCAGAUUACACUGUCACUAUUUCAGUAGUCACCACUUUUAUAUUACAGGAUGCGGCUACCUUCUCACGGGAGCAAGCACGGCGUUGGGAGGAUCGCAUCCACGGGCUUGAAGGUGCAUCCACGCACAAUACGCGCGCGCGAUGUGCGCGUAACAAAGUAACAAUACAAUCGGUAGGCGACAGGAGGAUAUCACGCGCACCACUGGCCACCGGCAAUGACUUAAUGCUAUUUGGAGACUACGGCCUUCCUCUUGCACGCCAUUAUGCACGCGUGGCGGGUGUACUCGUCCGUGAAUGCUGUAACACGAAGCCUAAAGAGAGACGCCGCGCCGACACAACGGAAAUGUUUACGGUUUCGUGGGUCGCUUUGGGUCGCUUGCCCGGCAAAAUGUGAACCGAGUUCUCUCAGAUGAAGUUAAAGAUGCCAACUCACAUGGUGUUUUCCCUUUGUGUGACGCGUUCAAUAGAAUACAACGUUCAUUCGCUGCGGAUAGUUUUAGAUCUAUUAUCAAAUUAUAACUUGUAUAACCUCGUUCUUAAUUAACUCAGAUACAUUCAGAUUAGGCUAAAUUUUUAGUUAUUAUCAGCUGACUUGCCAAAAGAUUU